UCUCCGUUGGUGAACCAGCGGAGGGAUCAUUACAGAGUUUUAUAUGCUCAGACCCGACGCGAACCUGAAACUGUUGCUUCGGCGGGCUGCCGGCUCUUGCCGCGCCCGCCAAAGGUCUACAUUAGGCUCUUUAGCUGGGGUGUAUUCCCCAUACUGUCCUCUGAAUCGCUUCCAAACUAGUCAAAACUUUCAACAACGGAUCUCUUGGUUCUG
rnacentral:misc_RNA from 1 species